CUGUCAUUCUGCCCCACUGUUCCCCGGUUGGCCGUCAUUGUAGAGCUGGGAGGCUCGCCUCAUGAUGGAGCGCUCUCUGGCUGUGAAGUGUCCAGAUAUCAGUACCCACCUGGCUGGCACCAAGGAGGUCCAACAGGAACUGGCCAGACCUGGUGUUCUGGAGAGGUUCUUUCCUGGUGAACCUGAUGUUGUGGAUCAGAUCCGGGCCACAUUUGCUGGGCUGUAUACAUUAGACAUGGGACCAGAAGGUAACAAGACUGUCUAUGGCUUUUGCAAAACCAGACCAGUUUGUCCUGAAGCCACAGAGGGAAGGUGGGAGGCAAUCACAUCUACGGAGCUGAGAUCUUUCAGAUACUGAAGGGUGUGAAAGAUGACAUAUAGAGGGCAGCUUACGGCUGGAUGGACAAGAUCCAGCCUGUGCACAACUACAUCCUGGAACGGGGAACUCUGCUAAAACUCAGCACUUGCAUAUGUGAACUGGGCACAUUUGGAGCUUAUGUCAGGAGCAGUCACAUUGUGCUGAGGACCAAGAGUGAUGAGCGCUCUGAUGGAGGUGUGGCUGCUGGAGUAACAGUCCAAGACAACCCUCUCUUUGUCUGACCGACACUGUCCUUUAUGAUACUAGUGUAUUUAGAUACUAGUCUAUAGAUGAAGCCAAUGGGUCCAUACUAUCCAAGGAUGAGUGUAAUGUCUGUCAUCCAUCUAUGCCCAUCAUGUCUGUAGGAUGUAUGUGCUGUUAUGUUGAAUUUGAUUUGGAAUUGUUCACAUAGCCUGUCUGACGGUACAGAUUAAGUGAAUAGCAGAUCUACAGAUCUAAUGAAAUGCAGGAAUCGGACCAAGCGAGAAAAGUAGAAAUAAUCAUCAGCUUCAUUAGCACUUUGCUGUUGAUUUCUUCGCAACUUAUUCAAAUGACUGGCAGGGAUCAACCAAGUGUAAUAAUGUAGAAUUAUGAUGAGUUCAAACAGGGGUCAUUGAUUUGGAAAGUAUAUCACAAUAACUGCUAUUUCUCAAACAUGGAGAAUGGUAUUAGCAUGUAUAAAAUGCAGUUCCUUAGUUUGAACACUAGGUGACAGUAAACGGUAAGAUAUUUCCGUAGAGAAUGAUAAAGACAUCAGCACACAGGCAGUGCUAUUGAGGCAAUCUCCAUUUUGAAGUAGUAGCUGAUCUUUUCAGCUAUAUGGAUUUGGAUGAAGUGGGGAGGCUUGGGCAAGUUGCAGUCAGGGGUGCCGGGCUGUUGACCAGGGUAGGUGUAGCCAGUUGGAAAG